AUGGCGAGUCCUGUCCUGUCUGAGUUGGCCAGGGGCAUCCAGCUGCUCUGCUGUGUGGCCCUCUGUCUCCUGGGGACAGGUACAGCGGGCGCUGAGGUCACCCAGUUCCCCAGGCACCUGAUCAAAGGCAGCGGGGGGCAGGCCAUUCUGAAAUGCCAUCCUAUCUCUGGACACAGAAGUGUGAGCUGGUACCAGCAGGCUCCGGGGCAAGGCCCCCAGUUCCUCAUUGAAUAUUUUAACCAGAAGCCGAGAGAGAAGGGAAACGUCCCCAGUCACUUCUCCUUUCAACAGUUCAGUGACUACUCCCAGCUGAACAUGAGCUCCCUGGAGCUGGGAGACUCAGCCUCGUAUCUGUGUGCCAGCAGCUUAGGCACAGCCCUGCGGCCAGACCCGCUCUCUGUACUCAAACGUUCCUGUCCCAACUGA